AUUAAGAUGGCAGAGCCGGUAAUUGCAUAAAGCUUAAGCCUUUACUCCCAGAGUUCAAACCCUCUUCUUAAUA
rnacentral:tRNA from 1 species